rnacentral:rRNA from 1 species
AAAACAUGUCUUUUUGUGUAAAUUUAAAGGUUUGAUCUGCCCACUGAUUUAUUAAAUGGCUGCGGUAAUUUGACUGUACAAAGGUAGCAUAAUCAUUAGUUUAUUAAUUGUAAACUGGAAUGAAUGAUUGGACGAGAAAAAUUCUGUUUCAGAUUAAUUUUGAUGAAUUUAAUUUGUUUUUGAAAAAGAAAAUAUAUUUAUGAAAGACGAGAAGACCCUGUAGAGUUUUAUUUAGAAAUUUAUUAAGAUAUAGAUUAGGUUUUAUUAAUUUAGUUGGGGUAACUUUGAUUUGAAAUAUUCUGUUUUUUAAUUAUAAAAAUAAGUUUAUUUGAACUAAUAAUUAGUUAUUUGGUUAAAUUACCUCAGGGAUAACAGCAUAAUUAAAUUAAGGAGUUCUUAUUUGUAAUUUAGUUUGUGACCUCGAUGUUGAAUUAAGAAAAUUUUAUGGUGCAGUAGCUAUAUAAAUAAGUCUGUUCGACUUUUAAAUUCUUACGUGAUCU